rnacentral:sRNA from 1 species
UUGGAAAGUAAAGUCAUCCAUUUAUUCACAAAUAGGCAGAGCACUUGCAGUGACAAUGCUCACUUCCCUUUCACUGACCUGCCAAGUUGUUUGAACUCUUUUCCAAAAGACCACAUCUGGUGAGAAAAGAGUCAACCAUUAAGGAGCAAAU